GUAGGUGUAUGGCAGGGCCGUCGCCUGCCAUACACCUCUUGUCGUUGUUGCUCCGGGGCCCGAUUGGGCCCCGGUUUUUUUGG
rnacentral:ncRNA from 1 species